GUUUGACAAAGGUCUCUCAUGACCUUAGAUUCCUCCUUGAAAUUUGAUGUUACUUCCUGUUUCUCUUCAUCACCUGAGCUUUCCGACUCCUCUGUGGAGGAAUCCUUCUGCUGUGUAGUGCAAUCAGGCUCAGAUUCUUCUGAAUCAGAAAUAUCAGAGUACACUGAGGAUCCUUUCCUGAGUUCUGAUUUCACACUUUCAAAGAACAUGUUCAGUGGUUUUUGGGCAUCUGCAUUCCCUUCUCCUUCAAAUCCUGAGGUCUGAUCUUCUCUCUUAACAGUCACCUUUUUCGACCUUGUUCUGUCAUCUUCAUCUUCACUAUCUGCUGUGUAAAGACUUCGAUCUGUAAAUGGACGUCUUUCAUCUCUAAUGAUUCUUCCAUUUGACAGCACAAGGCGAAGAUCAUUGUCCUUUGUUCGCCAGUCAGGUACUGUAGAAGACGGUUGAAAGGGCUUGUUAAAUCUCCCAUUCAGUUUCGAGUUUGCUAUGUCCUCCUCCCACGGUGACAUCUCCAGCCUUUUCAGUACCUCUCUUGUGUGGAGUUCUAAGAUAUCUAGAUUAGAAGGAGUUUUGGUAGCAUGGUCUCGCAGUUUCCUCAC
rnacentral:lncRNA from 1 species